rnacentral:rRNA from 1 species
UUGGAGGGCAAGUCUGGUGCCAGCAGCCGCGGUAAUUCCAGCUCCAAUAGCGUAUAUUAAAGUUGCUGCAGUUAAAAAGCUCGUAGUUGAAUUUCGGGACCAAUAUGUCGGUCGUGCCUCGGUACGUACUGGCAUCGUUGGUUCUCCCUUCUGACGAACCAUGAUGUCAUUUAUUUGGUGUCGUGGGGAAUCAGGACUGUUACUUUGAAAAAAUUAGAGUGUUUAAAGCAGGCUCACGCUUGAAUACAUUAGCAUGGAAUAAUGAAAUAGGACGUUUGAUUCUAUUUUGUUGGUUUCUAGGAUCGACGUAAUGAUUAAUAGGGAUAGUUGGGGGCAUUAGUAUUCAAUUGUCAGAGGUGAAAUUCUUGGAUUUAUUGAAGACUAACUACUGCGAAAGCAUUUGCCAAGGAUGUUUUCAUUAAUCAAGAACGAAAGUUAGGGGAUCGAAGACGAUCAGAUACCGUCGUAGUCUUAACCAUAAACUAUGCCGACUAGGGAUCGGAUGAUGUUAAUUUUUUAAUGACUCAUUCGGCACCUUACGGGAAAC